UUGAACGCUGGCGGAAUGCUUUACACAUGCAAGUCGAGCGGCAGCGCGGGGCAACCUGGCGGCGAGCGGCGAACGGGUGAGUAAUAUAUCGGAACGUACCCUGUCGUGGGGGAUAACACAUCGAAAGAUGUGCUAAUACCGCAUACGACCUGAGGGUGAAAGCGGGGGAUCGCAAGACCUCGCGCGAUAGGAGCGGCCGAUAUCGGAUUAGCUAGUUGGUGAGGUAAAGGCUCACCAAGGCGACGAUCCGUAGCUGGUCUGAGAGGAUGAUCAGCCACACUGGGACUGAGACACGGCCCAGACUCCUACGGGAGGCAGCAGUGGGGAAUUUUGGACAAUGGGCGCAAGCCUGAUCCAGCCAUGCCGCGUGAGUGAAGAAGGCCUUCGGGUUGUAAAGCUCUUUCAGACGGAAAGAAAUCGGGCGCGUGAAUAGCGUGCCUGGAUGACGGUACUGUCAGAAGAAGCACCGGCUAACUACGU
rnacentral:rRNA from 1 species